UCUAUACGUGCUUGCUGUUUCUGGGCCUUGGCAUCAGCAUAUUUAUCAAGAUUGUCCUGAUGGCCACCAGGAGUGUGCGAGGCAGAGAUCCUCCAGUGGAGUCCCCUCUAUAGGAUUUUCAAUUGCAGUUCCUUGCCAACGCCUACAACAAGAUAAAGCGAGCUGGUCGUGCGGAGAGCACGAGUCGUUCCGGGAGGACAGCUACAGCUGCUCCCAGACGUACUGGUAAGCUGUCUACAUUUACACAAAACGAUGCAAGUUGAUAGUGGUAAUCACAGCACAGCACAUGCCUGAUUACUUUAUUUGGCCCACACCAGAACUUGGCUAUAAUUAGAGAUCUGCUUUGCUUAUCUGGUUAGCCGAGUUACGAAAGAUUCGCGAAUGCCAGGUGAUGCAAGGCAGAUAUCUCUUUAUCUUUUCCGCUGUUUAUCGGUGCUUUAUCAGAGACAAUCUGGAUGUCUCAGGUGUGUGGGGCCUCUAGACUAUAGGCUCAUUUGCAUCAACUUAUCCCAUCGCUAAGGUUCGGUUCUGGCUGAAAUGUCUUUCGUGGAGUAUUACUAUUUCAUAUCCUUCCUUCUCAUAUUCCUCAUUCUGCUGCGGGCGUACCUUUGUCCCACGCACAGGUAGAAAUGUCUGUGCUGCCUCGCCUAUGGCCGGGAUCCGGGAACCGGCUGUGCUACAAGAGCAAGGCGAACCACAAUUCGAUGCUGGGGAACAGCGAUGCUCAAAGCUCGGUGGCAGAAGGUACGUACCAAUCCGAGUGUGUAAGGAAAUCGAGGGGCAUUUUAGUGAUAAAGUCCAUGGCUGAUAGACCGAGUCGAGUGCGAAAAAUAUCUAUUCACAUACCAUUAAUAACGGGCUUGUCCAUGCCGUGAUAAGGCUUGUUUUACUUUAGGCUUCGACUUUUUUUGUCUGAUUAGGCAGUUACUGUUUACACUUCCGCCUCUUCGGCAAGUUCUCUGGCGCGACUCGAACUUGAACUCGGUGAAUACUCAUAUCUGUCCAGUCUAGUCUCCAAUGAUCAGUUAUAAUGGUAGUUUACGUUAGCGUAUUCCUGGGAUGGUUCCUCAUUGUCGUCAUUGUGGCCGUGCUCGUGCGCGUAAGUUGCGUGGAAUUAUCCGACAUCGAUAUCGACACCCCACCACUGAUCUUCAGCGUUACAGGUGUGUUGUCUUUGCGCCCGCCACAAGAGUCGCUCCACUCAGCAGCAGGGUAGGACAUGUUACCGUGGUCCUGGUCCCGGUCUGGGUACGGGUGUGGGUGCGGGUGCAGGUCCAACACGUGUGCUGUAGAGCUAUCGAAUUGAUCCGCCAGGAGCCAAUGCGGACACAGGUGAGGAGGACUAAGCCCGGUCGAUUCAUCAUUCACAUCGACAAUCGUUGAGUCAGCUGAGUCCCAGAUACGGUUAUCUCUCUCUUCGCUUAUCUUUUCGAACGACUGUUGGGCUCGAGGGGCCACAGCAGAAGCUCAUUCCAUUCACCCGGCCAAAAGACAGCCCCGGCAUAAAAACGAGGCCGAUCGCAUAAUACCGCCGAGAAUGCAAGCGCAGCGAACCUCGCGACCACCAAUUAAUCGAACAGCGCUGACGCCAGCGAAAGAAGUAACGUAACGCUCACGACCACGACCACGCGCCCCACAAAUCCGCUGACGAAGCGAAGAGAACGAGGAAACCCCAACGCAGACCACAGAAGAAACCACAAGAGCCCGACCCGCGAGUCCUCGUAACUCUCGCCGGGGAAGAAAGGGGAGGGUGUAACGAACCUAAAAGGUUUCGAAACAAUCCGUCCCCCGACCUAUAAUGAGCGCAUCGCACCGCACCCCACAACCAGCGCCCCCUUCGCAAGCAACCACCGAUCAACACGCGCCAACUCCAGAACGAUGACCAAAGACAUCAGGUCAGCUUUCCCCCACUCCAAGCCAAGCCAUCGGCCGAGUGCGGCCUUCCGGGUUCAUCGACGGAGGAAAGUCGGCGCCACCAAAAUCUGCAACGAUCACCAAGAACGGCAAAGUGCGCCCCGACGCGGAAGCGCAUUUGUCAACCCGCCGACCCAGCAAUACGGGCCUAUAAAAAGACGGCGACGAGAACCAAAGAACGACUUACGCAGAAACCGGUCUCACAGUACGGUCGUGAUACCAAGACUUACGCAGAAACCCGGCUCACAGUACGGUCGUGGUACCAAAACUUACGCAGAAACCCGGCUCACAGUACG